CUUCUUCUUCUCCCUCUUCCUCCGGCGAGUCCACCGCGCCUUCACAAACUCUCACCGGAAUCCGAAAUGAUCUCGUGGAGAUCGGCGGAAGCUUCAAGAACUCGCUCUCCCUUCUCUCACCACGCAAAGCCGUCACCGGAAUCUCGAAGCUCGCUGCUCAAUUGCUGCAGUCUGAGCGCGAUCAUGAAGAAGUUGAUGAAGGUGCGGUGCCUGGGACAACGGAUGAUGUCGUUCGUUUCGUGAAGAAAAUUUCUACCCGGCCUGAGUGUUGGACCGAAUUCCCCUUUCCACUCCAUAAUGGUACUUUCAACUUUGUUAUUUUUGUUCUGAUUAUGAUUCUCUCUUUUCUCAAUUGAAUCUCUAUAAUCUGAUUAUAGAAAAGGUUUUAAUUGCUUAGUUAGUUUUUUUUUUUUACGCAAUUUGCUGUUAGUUAGUUAAUUGUAUGUUUCUCCUCUUAAUUUUAAUUGCUGGAUUUUUUUUAAGCUGGUAAUUUCAUUAAUAACGUGUUAUUUCUGGCAUUUUUAAUAUGCAUAUGCAGAAAUAUGAAAUUGUGUUUGAAAUUGGUACAGCCUUUUUUUUACUAAGAAAAAUUGGUAUAGCUUGUGCCUUAUGGUUGAAUGUUAUUUAGAAAAUAAAUAUCAAUCCUGACUAAGUUGAGUUGAGCACAGUGUUGUAAAUUGUGGAUCAUGGAAAAUAGCAGUUUGAUCAAAUUCCGCCAAAUAACGUAUUGCGGAGCAAUAGUGAUUCGCUAUGCUAUAGCGCUGAUAUAUCGGCUAUUUAAUAACACCAGUUGAGCAUAGAGAAAUGGAUUGUAAUGGUUACAUAGUUUAUGAUGGUCUGCUGGAAGGCACUGUUUUCUGCCAAGCAGGGAGGAAUGCAUGAUAUUGACAUACUGAAUUUGUUUAAAUAGAACUGAUGAUUUAAACGAAUCACAAUGGUGAAGGCUUGCGGGCAUACAGGGUAGUAAAUAGUGCUUCUUCUAGAGUUUGAAGUGAUACCUUAGUUUGUAUAUCAAGUCUUAAUGUGCCAAUAAGGGUAGGCUUAUGUGGUAAAGAUAAAGCAAUGUCAACAAAAAGGUGUUGAGUUCAAUUCCUACGUGAAAUACUUCAUUGGUAGGUAAUCUGUUAAUGCCAGUAUGACCUUUUGUAAAGGUUUAUGACAUGUCAUGACCCUAGAAAAGGGUAACCUUAACUUCCCCUCAAUCUGAACUUUUUGAUGCCCCCCAUCUAAGCUAACAAGCUCACAAGGUUCAUAUGCAAGGGUUUAACAAAUUUUAGAAAGAAUUGAAGCUUCAUCUCACUCAUUAUGACAUGUAUCAUGGAUAAUUUUAAUUCUCGCUUCUUAUCUUUUGUGUAUCCUUAAUGUUGAUGCUGCUAUAUAACAAAGUGCAGUUUUAUUUGGUAAAUUUUAUCACGUCUGUGUUGCUUGUCCUUUUUAAUUCCGAUACUGUGUUCUUGGGAAUCAGCCUCUUAGAAUUAUGUAAUACUUAUUCCAAUACUGUUGAUACUGUAUUGCUUGUCAUUUUUAAUUCCGAUACUGUAUUCUUUGAAAAUCUGAUACAAUGCUGAUCUCAGAAAUUAUUUCCACAAUGAAGCUAGUUCACACUCCUUAUCAAUAUAAAGUCCAAAAUGCUUGUGUUUUUCUCAGCACAUGUCUAGUUUAACACUCAUGUAAAUAUUCUUUGAAGAUAAAUGAUUUUGAAUCUUGAUUCUUUAGAUAGCAUGAAUACAAUAAAGCAAAAAAACAUUCAUUGCUCUUUAUUUUUAUCCUACUUAAACAUGUAAGAAGAUUGGAAGAUAUAAAUACAGAAAUUUGAUUUUUUUUUCAGCAGAUUGCAGCCUGUCAAAUUAUCAGAGAGAACAUGCGCUGGCUAUAGAACAACUGGUGCCUGAAUUUGUUACACUUAGAAUGAACCUUUGCAGUUACAUGAAUGUGGAAAAGUUUUGGAUGAUCUAUUUUUUGUUAAUACUUCCAAGACUUAAUCAACAUGACUUUGAGCGCCUAUCAACCCCCAAGGCAAGCCACGUUUAUUCAAUACUGUCUUACUUUCAAAUGAUUCACAUAAUUAGCAAGGCCAAAUGUGUUUUAAAUUCCUAUGAUGUCUAUGCAGACAUUAGCUUUUUGAAACCAUCUUAUUUAUGUGAGUUUUCAUUCAUGUUACUCAGAUUCAAUCAUUAUACUCUGUCAAAAUUGUUGGUGUUUGUGACUUAGAAAACCACAUAUUAUUGCAUGGUGAACAUGUAUAGUGCACACCAGUAAUAAAAAAUUUCUGUGGCCAGGAAAACACAAAGCACUAUGUAUGAAGUAUUGCGAUGUGAUACUCAUAUAACCCUUGUCAUAUGCACAAGUUAUGCUUUAUUUUAUUUUUAUAUGCUUAAUUGAAGUAAUCCUUUCUAUUAUUUGAUUCUUCUUCAAUGCAACUUGUGUUGUUCUUGUAUAUGAUACAUGAGUGAAUACUAAUGCUGUUAUCUUUUGCCAGUCUCUGCAUGGCCUGGUUAUCUUUUUGUCUUUAGAUAAAAUAUCAUAGAUCUUUGGCACAAGUUUCUUCUGUAGUUUUAGUGUUUGUCCUUGUUUAACUCAUGGCACCUCUCCUUAUGAUUUGGUUUGACUAAAUUUUGUCAGAUUGUUUGUUCUAUUGCACCCAGCAUUUAUAUUCUUGAAGAUAAAUUUAUAGAUAGUUAUGGCUUUUGCGCUAUGUUUACAUGUUUGGAUGGAAACAUUUUCUAAGGCUUUGUUUGGGAGGGGAGGGGAGGUCUAUAAUUAGCUCUCCCAUUUUCCGGGGGUUUUUAAAACAAAGGGAAUGGUCUUUUGACAUUCAAACAAGGUGGGAGCCUGGCAUUCUUCCUCCUCCUCCCCUCCCAUUCCCCCUAAAAUUUCCCUCCCCUUUCUCUCUAACUUUCAAACAAAGCCUAAAUGUCUGCUACAUCAUGUAUAUGUUUUUCUCUUUUUAUUUUGUUAGAUUGUUGAAGCAAGAGAUGUUCUUCUACAAAAACUUGAAGAGAGGAAAGAUAUGAAAGUCGGAGAAUGUGAUAAAUUAGGUGUUGUAGAUACACGUCAAGAGGGUACGGAGGACAGUGGAACAGAAAGUAUCACAUUUGACCAAAACCAGAUAUUGACUGAGGUUACAAAGGCUGCUAAGGGUUUAGAAAUUGACGACACAAUCAGUAGUGAAAAAUGGUUGACAGAUACAGAUAUUGAUGCUACUUCACUGACUUCCUGUACAAAACAUCAACAGGAAGAGGACAUGUCAUUCAGUGACUUAGAGGAGGAUGGAAGUUAUAGCUCUGAUAAAUUAUCAGGCCAUGGGGAGGCCAUCAGGGGUUCAUCGCCCGAUGGUUCAAGUGACUGGGUUCAGCUACGUGAAAGCGAAAGAGGUGGCAGGCAGAAGGCUAUCCGUUUAAAAGGCAAGGAUUCUGAAGAUGAGUCAAAUGAUUGGCUCGCUGUUGACGAGUUUAGUUAGAUAUAGUCUUUCUCUCUAUUUGUAAAGGUUCAGCGUUUUUCACUUUUAAAUUUAUUUAGGAAUUGCAAAUUCCUAUAAAUUAAAAUGUUUCUUAUGGUUUGAUUGUAAUUAGAAAACUUUCACUAGCUGGCCACGACUGAGAAUGUGACGUCAUAGUUGUAAAAUAAUUUAUACUAUGAACAGAAUUAACUUGGCUUAUAAUUCCUUCCAAAGUCUAAAUAUAUGUCUAUGUGAAGUAAUGGUUUGCACAUUUGGGCUUCUAAAGUAAUGGUCAACCAAUUGCAGGAGCUAUUAUGAAACACUGUUCAUAGUUCAUUCAUAGGUGAAAUUAGAUAAAUAUAUCUCAACUCAAGCACUUCAAAGUUCAUAUUUUGUGACAGUAGAUAAGGGGGUUUGGUUUGUAAAAAUCUAUCAUGUUGUAUGAAAUGUUGAUUAAAAAAAGACAAAUCACUUUAUUUAUCCUGCAAAUAUAUUAUGUAGUUUUUUUUUUUUUUUGAGUCGUUUUAGUCCUAUUUUUUUAUAUGCAAAUAUUCAUAAAAAAGUAUCCGUUAGUUUUCAGAGUUUUAACUCAGAACCUUCUAAUUAGAACUUCUUCCGUGUUUGAUAAUUUACCAAGCAAAUUGUUGUGUGGGAUGUUUUAGUGCUAACUUACAUCAGUUGAAGUUUUGCAAGUCUUGAUUAUUAUGUGGAAUACUGAAUGUUGGGCCUAACUCAAGAGCAUAAUUAAGAUGAGUAUAAAGAAUAAAAUGGCACAUUUCAAAGAUUAUAAUAUCAAAGAUAAUGCAAGGGAACAACGAGAAAAAUAAAUCAUAAAAUGUUCCUUCAGAAUCGUCAAUAUAUAUACCCAACACAAUAGGGUAUCUUGCUAAGUUAUCCACAUUGCAUUACAAUUUUCUAAAACAAUGCACAAGCCUAGAAUGGUAAUAUCUGAUAAAUGGUUGCAUCCCAAUAAACACAAUAUGUGUUAUCCUUUUUUGGUAUACCCAAUAUACAUUAUAUUGGUCAAAAAGCAGUGUAAAAAAAAAAAGGAAAAUUUGACAGUUAGCAUUGAGAGCUUAUCUCCAGCAAGAAGCCAACAAAGGACCAUGGCAGAUAAAGGCUAGUAUAACGUAAAAGACUAUGGCAAAAAUUAUAAUAAGUGCAACCCUGCAUAAAUAAGAGAUAAAAAAUAAUUAGUAAUUCAAAAGCUUAAUAUAGAACAAGAUCAAGUUACACUGGUGUAAUAUAUGAAUCAAUACACUUACGUUAGCCUAACAUUCCUCCACCACAUGUUAUUUUUAUAUCGACGAGACUGUCUUUUGAAACGUAUUGAAUUGCUGUUCAUUGCUGAAGUUUUCUCAACCAGCAUUUCCAAACGACCACCUCUCUCUAACACUUUCUCAAUGUUAUCAAUCAUAACCGUUCUCACCUAUAAUUAUCGUACCACAACAGAUAAUUUAUGUUAGUUACACCCCCUUGAAAUCGAGUUACACCCCAUGAAUUUCUAAUAAACAACUACAAACUGGCCAAUUAACUAAAAACUUUUCAUUUCCAAGUAUGUCUAUGUUGUAUCAAAAUCAAAAGAAUCACAAGGUAAAUUGAAAUUAUUCCACCAAGAUGUUUCUAAAUGAUUAAUCUGCAUUUGAAAUGGAAAACAAUUUUAUUUUUUUCAACGGCUAAUGUUAGUAAUUAGUAUUGUUAAAAGUAUUAGUAUUAAGAAGAGUUUAUAGAGAAGGAAAUGAUUGUGAAUGAACUUGCCUGAGUCAUUUCACCUUUGAGACGGUUUAAUCUGUCAGCAUUUGGGUCAGUAGAGUAAUAAUCCAUCUGUUGGCUGAGAACUCUUGAAAAUUCAUCAUUCAUUGUAUAUGCAGGAGCUGAAAGAAUUGCACGUGCAUAUGUCUUCACAAAUCUAUUAUGAAUAUCUUCAAGAAAUGAAAAAGGAAUCCUCCCUGCAAUCAUUCAAACAAUACAAUUUCUUAUACUUCAUUAUCUUAUCAUUUGGAUCAAAAUUGUUUCAUUCAAUUGACCAAUCCAAACUCUUAAAAAAAACAGGUGAAAAUUUUAAAAAGUGAUUUUUUUUUUUAAAGAAAUAAGUUGUAACAAACGACCUCACAAUGAAUGCAGAAAUCUAAAAGAGAAGAAAUUGAAGCAUACUUCCGAAUGCUUCAUCAGCCAUACAAAGAAGCGUUAAGCCAUCGGUUCUUUUAACAUGAAAAACAUAACGAUCAUGUGAAAAUGAAACAUUGCUAUCAUUAUAAUUAUCAGUCCCUUGAUUAAUCUUAUUAAGUAUCUGUUUAGCAACAACACUUGCAUUGCUUUGAAUUGUACUAAACUCAGCCAAAACAACUUGUCCCCUUGCAACCAUUCCAUAUAAUAUCCCCAUUGAUGCUUAAAGCAUGUAAGUUUUUUUGAAAGUUUAAGGUAAAGGGUCGUUGUUGUUGGGUGGAUAGAAGAGAAAAGUGUAAAGGAAUUGGUUUUGGAAGAGGUGCAACAACAACAACAAGAACACCAAAACCAAAACGAGGAAGAAGAGAAAAGAAAGUGAGCAUUUUGAUUAAAGAUUUAAUGUCCAAAAAUGGGAUAAUUUUUUGUUUCGGGUAAACGACAGUCUGGAAAUUUAAUAGGAAGCUCUGCUUUUUACCCAUUUUUUAUGUUUAGUGUAUUGUGGCGUUUUUCGUGCCAUUACUAUUGCCGGAAACUUAGGAAUCAUUGUUGUUUCAACGGCAUCACUAUAUAAGGUUAAUUGUAUUUUUGGUUAUUUACAUUAGCUAAUAUGUUUACUUUUUUAUUCAUUCAAUCAACUUUGCGUGCUUUUUUUAAUCGAACAUUUCUUUCUUAUACCACAAUUUAACAUGCACGUAAUUACAUAAAUUAAUUUUUUUAUAUAUAUUUCAUGAAUUUAAUUUUCAUGUACUAUAAGUAGAAAAAAUACUAUCAUGUUAAUAUAUCAUAAUCAAUUAUGUGUUUGAUUUUAGAAAUAUUUAUGAUAAAAAUUAAAUAUUUUUAAUGUUGUGAAUGAUUGACAUUUAAAAAUUCCUUAUACUAAAUGAUAUACUUAAAUAUAAACAAAAAGUAAAUCAUAUUUGGUUCAAACAAUUAAGGAAAAACCUCAACUAAUUCAUGAUAUUUUGCCUAUGUUCAUAAUGAUUGACAUAUUUGCCAAUAAAAAACAAUAUUUCAAAAUAAAUAAUCUAUUUAAUUUUCAAUGUAAUAUUAAUUAUAUAUUUUUAAUUAAUAUAUACACUUAAUCAUUUAUAAUUAAUUUAAUAAAAAUAUUAUUCUUUCGUUGGUGGAGUUUAACUUAAUAAUACGAGGAGAGACAAAUAUGAUUAAUACAUAAAAGAGUAGAAAGAAAAUACAUAAGGGCAUAAGUAGACAUGACAACAAGGCGGGGACGGAUUUCGCCUCAUGCACCUCUACACCUGGUUAAUUGGAAAAAAUCUACACUGUUCUUCGUUUUAUAGUGAGUGUAAAUUUUAGGCUCCAUCCUCGUCUGCGAUGGGGCUCAGAUUUCUCCGUAUACACCCACUUAUAUAUAUAUAUAUAUAUAUAUAUAUAUAUAUAUAUAUAUAUAUAUAUAUAUAUAUAAAUAAAAUAUANNNNNNNNNNNNNNNNNNNNNNNNNNNNNNNNNNNNNNNNNNNNNNNNNNNNNNNNNNNNNNNNNNNNNNNNNNNNNNNNNNNNNNNNNNNNNNNNNNNNNNNNNNNNNNNNNNNNNNNNNNNNNNNNNNNNNNNNNNNNNNNNNNNNNNNNNNNNNNNNNNNNNNNNNNNNNNNNNNNNNNNNNNNNNNNNNNNNNNNNNNNNNNNNNNNNNNNNNNNNNNNNNNNNNNNNNNNNNNNNNNNNNNNNNNNNNNNNNNNNNNNNNNNNNNNNNNNNNNNNNNNNNNNNNNNNNNNNNNNNNNNNNNNNNNNNNNNNNNNNNNNNNNNNNNNNNNNNNNNNNNNNNNNNNNNNNNNNNNNNNNNNNNNNNNNNNNNNNNNNNNNNNNNNNNNNNNNNNNNNNNNNNNNNNNNNNNNNNNNNNNNNNNNNNNNNNNNNNNNNNNNNNNNNNNNNNNNNNNNNNNNNNNNNNNNNNNNNNUAUAUAUAUAUAUAUAUAUAUAAAAUUAUAAAUUUAAAAAUUAUAUAUAUUAUAAUUAAUAUGAUAAAAUAAUUAUUAUUACACAAUAAUAAAAUUAAAAAAUAUUUUAUAUAAAGAUAAGAUAAUAAGUUUUAAUAUUUUAAAAAAUAUUAAAUAUAUUCGAUAUGUGUAUGUAUAUAAAAUUUAAAAAUUGCAAUAAUAUUACUUGCGGGGCGGGUUCGCGUGCGGAGACGGGUAGAUAUCACCACCCCAAACCCAUCACCGCUCUCGAAUUUUUAUUUCGGGGAAAAUUUGCACCUACACCCAAAUAAAACGGAUUUAAAUGAAUACUCGCGGAUGCGGAUUUUGUUGUCAUCCUUAGAUAUAAAUACUACCGUACUACUAUUAAAUUAAAUAUUAAAAAUGAUAACUAUAGUGGGAUAGUUAUUUUGAGAAAUAGGAGUAUUAACAAAUUUAGUCAUUAUUUUUUGUAAGAAAAAAAAUAAACUAUACUACUCACAAAGUAAACAUACACAUGAAUGAUGCAUUGAAAAGGGUAAGAAUCAAUGCAAGAGGGGACAUGUACUUGCUGGUUUAAUGCAUAUAUAUAAUCAAUGAUCAAAUGAUUCUUUUUUACAACAAAAAAAAUCAUAUGAUUUAGUUACAGUAAGCAGCACCGCAGUGUGGGCUGGAGCGAUACACAUUUGAGGGAAAUUGUACCCUCUACUCCGGUGUGAUAUAUCUCACAAUAUUUUUAAAAUGUCAAUUUUACUUUUGAAUUUCUUUUUUAUUUCAUAAAUUUAAGUUCAUUUUUUUAUUAUUUAAAAAUUUUCGAACCAAUUAAUUUAAAUUUUUCAGCAUGUAAAAUAUUUUUGAAAAUUAUUGAAAAACUUUAUAAAAAAUCAAAAAACUUUUAAAAAGUAUGUAUAAAAAAGGUGUGGUUUCAAGUUUUUUGGGGAAACUUCAAAUUAGUUUUCCUUUAAUUAAGUGUGUUCUGAAAAUCUUUAAAAAAAAUUUGAUAUUUAAAAAAUUUCAAAUUAAUUUUACGGUAAAGAGGUGUGUGUAGACAAGAAAAUUUGAAGAAGAAAUUCUAAAGUGUAAAUUCUAUAUUAAACAAAUUGAAAAAAAUUUCCAAUAAAUAAAAAAAAUUGACAUUCACUUAUCUACCGAAAAAAUAAAAUGAUAUUAUAGAUAAAAAUAAAACUUUUAAUAUCUAUAUAAAACCAAAUAUAUCAAUUUAUCACAUUUGUGGGAGUAUAAGUCUAAUAUGGGCUACAUUGUAAAAUUUCCCCAUUUGAGUCCAUCAAGCUGUUCCACAUGACUCGGCUUUAGAAACACACAGCCCACGUAGCCCGCGUCAACACCAUAAUCUAAUAAUAGAAAAAAAAUAUUAGAAACAAAAAUUGAUUAAGUUAAUUUGAGUGUUUUAGAGGUUAAUUUUCAUAAGGUCUAUUUGGCAAUAAUCAAACUCAACAACCAUAAUACUUUAAGAAAAAUUACAGUAGCAAAGGGAGUAAUUUUCAUAAGGUCUAAUCCGGCUUUCCAUCAUCACAAAUGAAACAAUAAGCCAAAGGGGAGUAAUUUAAAUAUCUUUUGAUAUUCUCAAGAACACAUAGACAUCAAAGUUUGCACUAAUUGACAAUUUGAACGUGUUGUAGCGACAAAACAGAUAAAGAUGUAGAGAAAUCACAUUAUAUAAUCAAAUAUGGAAAUCUUAACAUAGAGAAAUAGUAGAGAUUGAGAUUUUCUCGACAAAAAAAUUUAAUUGUUGUUUUAGUUUUUUUUUUCCUUUUAUUAAUUUAUAAAGUUGGUCUUUCUAUUUUACAAUUUAACAGUUUUGACAUUUGUUUUAAUUUUAUAAAUAAAAAUGGUGACAUAACAUAUAAUACGAUUAUGUACAAUGAUUAACACUCAUGAAAUUGCAAUAAUACUCUUUAAAAAUUUAACUUUCAAAUGCAUAAAAUUUUCAUUUUAUAAUUUAAUUAAUGACAUGUGAAUAAUUAAUUUAUCUAAAUGAUUUUAUAUUAUAAAAUCGUAUGCUACAUUAUUUAAAAUAUGUCAAAUUGUUAUUUUUUAAUUGAAAAAUUAUGAAGAAAAUAACAAAAUUAUCGACUUUUAAAAUAGAUUGAUCAAUUUCGUGAAUCGAUGAAAAUAGAUAAAUCAAAACUGUAAUUGAACCAUUAAAAUUUUGAAUUAUUUAUUCAAGAUGAAUGUCAUAAAUCUGACGCUAUGUUGAGAAGUAUAGUUGAACCCAACAAAACAGAAAAUAAAAUGAGAGAUAUAUCGAUAGUAUUCAAUAGUAUGACAAAGAUUAUUACAAUAUGUGUAUAGUGAUGUUAACACAACUAAUAUAACUCAUUAACAACUAAUCAUAACUAAUUAGUAAAUACUUUUCUUCGUCGCUAAUGGAAGGGAGAGAGAGAAACGCGUCGGAUGGAAACAUAGGUAUAAAUUGAAAUUUGUUUUUUUAUUUUUAUCACUUACAAAUAUAAUUAUUGUAACCCAUUCUAAAUUAAGGAUAAAAAUUAUAAAGACCAAACAUGAUAGAAUUAAAAAACUGAUUAGUGUAUCACGUCACUUGCAUGCAUCAAACAUAUGAUUUAUAAUAAAAUAAAUUAGUCAUACAUAUCUCAUUUUCUUAACCAUCCAACAUACCCUUAAUAGCCAUCAUUAAAACAUCAUCAUAUAGUAAAUAUUAAAAAGAAAGUAUUUUACGAAGUUCAUUUGUUUUGGCGUGACACUGCUUUGUCUCUUUGGCUUAUGCUAAUAUUAAAUUAUGUUACAAGGACGUACUUUCUUCCUUGUUAAACUUCAAUAACGGUCUUGGUUCAAGGCAACGGUGGGCAAUGUUAGGACCAUGUUUUAAAUUGAUGUCUUUAUCCUUUUGAUUGUCUUAAACAAUAUUAUUAAUCUUACUAAAUAUUAGUUCUUUGUAAAUGGGUUAGACUCCUUUAUACUUCUUUUAAUAAAUCUUUUACUUAUAAAAAUAAAGUGGUAUUAAUGCUCAAACUUUUAUAUUGAACUAACACUUCAAAUAAAAAUAAAAUAAUUAAUGAAAAAUAUCAGUUAAAAUAUCUAUAAUUGGUAUGAAAAAUAUUAGUCAAACUCUUAGAAAAAUAUUAAUCAUAAUAUCUAUAAUAUUUUAAACACUUGUCCAACGUCAUCCCUUAAUUUAGUGUAGAAAUAUAGUUUUUAAAGAUAAAAAAAAAUGGAAGAAUAAGAUUUAAGGAUGAGAUUUCUCAACUGCUAAAUAAUGCAACAAUGAACAUUAUUAACUUCAAUGGUCCUCGUCAUAACUGUUGCACUAUAGAGAAUAUAAAAUAAAAAUAAAAAGAGUGAGAAAAUGAAUGCUUAUUUAUUUAAGAUUCUAAUUUGGUCCAUAAUGAUAUACAUCAAAUUCAAAUAUGGUAGAGUAUGGUGACAUUAUUAAUUUAUUAUCUCACCAUUUGGGCUCCCCUCCAUUUAGGGGUGGCCUUCAGCAUGGGCGGAGGAGAAGAUCACCUAAAGUUCAUUUUUUAUGUAAUAAUUUUUGCCAAGUAGUUAGUGGUAUUGUAUUUAUUUGAUAAACAAGAAUUUAAAUUGAAGGUUAAAACUCACCAAUCAUGUGUUAUUGUUUCAUUAUACGUAUAUUUCUUAAAAACUCUUUGUUGAUUUGUAUUUUAUAAUUUUUAUAUUUUGUAUAUAUUUGUUUGUUGAUUGUUUGCAUAUGUUGCAUAGCAAAUACCUUAUGACCAUUUCAAAAGAGAAAAACAAAUUGAAAUGGAUAUUGAAUCUAAAAAGGGUGAAUUUUAUUAUACAAAAAACUAUCAAACAUCCUCCGAUUUCUAUUAAGAAAGAUGCCAAUCCACAUUAUUUAGACACUAAAACUGAAAAUUUAAAAUAUAAUCAACUAAAUAAAAAUAUUAAACAAAGAGAUAUUUUAGUUCAAAAUAAAAAAAAUGAAGAUGAUUAUCGUUAACAAAUGAAAUAUUUUAAUUAUUCAGGUCUUAAAGAAAAUGAACUCAUCUUUGUUCUUGUUGAUCAAUAACCCAAUCAAUCUACACCAUUAAACACUUGUGAUUCAAGAACAUAAAAUAACUUUAAUUAUAUAAUGAUCAGAAACAUAUCUAUGAAAGACUUAAAGAAUAUAAAUCAAGUGGUGCACAUAUGACUUGAGGAAAUGUAAAUGAGUUGACUUAUGAAUAAGAUUUUAAAAAAAUAUAACACUUUAUAAACAUUUUCAACAACUUAUAAGAAAAAACACCGAAAAAUAUUUUAAUUAAGAUAAUUAAUGUUAUUAGAUAUUUUGUUGAAAAAAUUAAAAUAUAUAUUUUUUCUAAAUUUAAAAAAGUAUUAAAAUUUUAUCUGCAAUAAUAUAUUACAAAAUAGAUUAAAAAAGUCUAAUUCUAAUUUUAAUUGAAAACAACUUUUUUUAUAAAGAAUUUUUAUUAGGAAUUAUGCAAAAAUCAUUAAUGAUUUUUUUUAAAAAAAAUACAAGAAGAAUGGCAUUCAAUAAUAAUUAUAAGGAAACAAUUUUAUUAAUGCAUUGAGGACACUUAUAUUCUCAUAUGAUAAAUCUGCCUCCAUCCCUAUCAUUUUAUCACAUCACUACCAUGGGUGUCCCAGAUAGAAUAUGAAAUGAAUAAAUGCUUCACCUUCUUGUCGAUUACUCUCAAACACUAUAAUUCAAAUAGAUUCAAACCACCCAUCAUACCACCUUGAGUAUUUCCAAAUAUAUCUAUCAUCUCAUUGUAGAGAUUUUAUUCAUGAUCUCCCCUGAUUCUGUAAUGUAUUGCCACUUGAAUCAUUGCAUAUAUAUCAAUCAAUAUUUUCCAUCACAAACAUUAUAAUAUUAUUAUACUCAUGCAUACAUGUUUAUCUAAACAUCCCAUGUGUUUACAACUACACAUAUUGAAUUGCAUUGUCAUUGAUAAACCAAGGCCACUACAUUAUGAUGACAUGGAUCAAUUUGAGACAAUAAACAAAAGAUUAGUACAGUCACUAUAGAAAACCAUUCUUCAGCCAUUGGUUUUUUAUUUGUAUUUUGUUUUUCUGGAAAUUAUAAAGCAUAAAUUAAUUUGAAUGUUGCUGGGUGUUGUAUGAAGAGUUUUUUUGGAGACAACAUAGACGACAAAUUACAAUUAAUGGAUUUUAAUGUCUUUUGUCUAUCACUGGCCCCCAGAUCCUGUUGUCAAUAACAUGUGGACAGAACAACAAUUAUUUUACCAUCAAAACUUCUUCAAGAUUUCAUAAAUAUUUCACUCUCUAGUACUAGCGGUGAUUUCCACCAAUCCUUCUAUAUAUAUAUAUGGAGCUACUAAUUUACACACCUAUUUUUAUAAAGUUGUAAGUCAGCAAUUUACACCUUUUAAUGUUGGACUAUAAAUACAACCAUAUUUUUAGAAAACUAAUUAAUUAAGUGGGUAUUGAUGUAAUUUAGACUAUAUAUCUAAGUUAGAUUUUCUAAUUUGUUUUAAUGUUUUAGCAAUUAAUAUUUAUUUCACUCUUAAUUUCCUCACAAUUAACAUUCUUUAAAUAACAUUUUUUUAUGAAAUAUUUUAAUUUAACACUGAAAAUAGUAUUAAAUGUAAUAAUAUAUUUUUAAUAAGGGAAAAACAGUAAUUUGCAAAGAGAGAAAAAUGUUAAUCUACACGUAAAAAUUAAAAGGUGUAGAUUGUAGAUUAAUAACUUACAGUCUACACCUCUUUUAAUCAUUAAUAAAUAAAAUAUAAUUUAUAAAAUUACUUUUCAAUUUUACUUAUUUUAAAUAGUAAAGAGUGUCUUUUUUUUAUCCAAAACUAAAAAGUGGAGAUUGCUAACUUAUGUUACUAUGAAAAUAGGUGGAUAUAAAUUACCAAUCCCCCUUAUACAUAUAUAUAUAACACAUACUUAAAUGAAGGAAACACAUAUGGUUAAUAAUUUAAGCUUCUAUCUUAAUCAAGUGUUAAUUAGAAGUCUCACAUUAGUUGAAAAAGUAAAAGUUGAACAAUAUAUAAGUAAUAGAAUCCAUAUACUCAUUAACUCAAGAUUUUGAGUUAGAAUGUGAUGUUUAAUUCACUUAAUGUAAUGUUGUUGGUCCAAUAUAAAUGAUUCUAAACAUAUGAUGAGUGGAAGUCAAGUGAUAUUAUAAAAAGCUUAAGAUUAUAUGUUAAAAAAGAUAAAAUUUUAUGAAACUCUAUAUAAAUAGAGGUAUUUUUUAGUUUAUAUUUCAAUUUUGUAAGGAUAAAUAUGUCCAAUAUAUAUAAACAUAAUAAAUCAAAUAUCUAUAUUGGAGUCUCACACUAUUGGAUGUAUAUAUUUGUUAAGAGUGCUUUAAAAGUCCUUUCUUUGAACUAAUUUUUUAACAUGAUAUUAAGAGUUAAGUUAAAGUUGAUAAUGUGAUACUAGUUAGUUCUGUUGAAUGUCAAGAAAUUGAUGUUAAAUAUUAAGUGAGUUUUUGAUGAGAUGGUGAAUCUGACGUGGUAUAGCAAUAUUAGUGGGAUGUUGAGGACAGGAGCAAGCACACAGAAAAUGGGUGGUGAAAGAAAGGAAAAUGAGAGAGAAAUGACAUCACAAAUCACAAUCACAUGAGAGGAAAGGAAAGAAGAUUCACGGAUAUACAAAGUUACAAAAAAAGAAAAUGAAAACCUUUGAAAGUGUGUUCCUAUUCCUAUCUAUCACGGACAAGCAUUACAACAUAGACAUCACAAUCAUAGAGAAACUUCACUCAGUGAAACAUAUGGAUCAUUCAUUUGCUUUCUCUUCUUACUCACAUGCUUGCCAACCUGUACACUUUCCCUUAAUACGUCCUAUGCAUUAUGCAUUCCUCUUUUUAUUCUCUUUCCACUACUCUCUCCUAUGCUACAUAUAUCAUUUCCAUUCACCUUCCACAAUCAUCUCUUAUCAUUCACCACCACCACCAUCUUCAACUAUCAUCCUUAAUUACUAUCCACUACUCUCUCGUAAAAUUAUUAUAAUUAAAUAAAUUAUAAUUUUAGAAAUAUUUGAGUUAUUUUAAAAUUAUUAAAUUUUAAUAUAGUUUUUUUGUGUAUUUUAUCUUUAAUUAUGUUCAUGUGUAAAUAUUUUUUUUAUGUUUGAUGGAUUGAUGACGAAGUUCAAAUAAAUAAAAAAAUAACAAAUUGAAAUUCAAUUCAUAAUUAAAAUUAAAAAUUCAAAACAAAAACUGAAUUUUGUUUUUGAAAACUUCAAAACAUAAAAUCAAAAAUCACCCCAAAUGAGAUUUUGAAUAUCAUUUUGGUUACUCUCUUCAUCUCAUAAUAAUUGUCGCAUUUGGCAGAAAAAUUUGUUCUGAAAUAAUUGUCACUUUUAAUUUCUAAUGCAACUUUAAUUUUUUUUUAUUAAUUAUACUCUCUAAUUAAUAUUAUGUGUACUCUAUUAAUUUAUGCAUUUAUGAUAAUUGAAACCAACCAAUUAUUUAUAAGGAAUAGUUUGGCAAAAUUAUAGAGUAAUGAAAAGGUCAAUAGUUCAACACUCCUACGCUCUUCAAACACUACAUCUGAUCCUCACAUUCAUUGGCUUUGAGUGCCUCAGAAAAAUUAUUUUCCAUCACCAUAAAGCCUAAAGUCUCUAACAUAUGGAAACACAUGAAGAAGAAAACAAAGUUCGAUGAUGAAAAUGUUGUUCCAAUACCAACCAACUCGCAUGUCACCAAGAACAUAAAUAUUGGAGUUACUCGCUUAGUGGUCAUAACUCAAAAUAUUGCAAUUUUUUUAAUUUUUGGAUUUUUAAUUUACUUCAUUAAACAAUUCAUAUAUAUAUAUGUAAAGAUUAAAUAUAUUUUUAGUUCUUAUAAAUAUAUUUCUAGAAUAUUUUCUUUAAACAAUAAUCUUCAUAUAAUUUUUUUCCAGCAAAAUUGAUCCUCGUUGUUAAAUUUAUUAAGGGUUAAAGCCAUGACAUUUAAAACAUCCAUGUGCAUAUCCGUUUACCGAAUUUAACAUUAUUGAAGACCAAUUUUACUGAUAGAAAAUAAAUAAACAAUUAUUUGAGGAGAAAAAGUUAGAUGGAUUAAAUAAAUAAAAAUUGGUUAGAUGGAUUAAAUAUAUAUAUAUAGAGGACGCAAAUUCGAUGAAAACCGAUAGUUAAUUGAUGUUUCAGACUUUACAAAUUGUUUGUUUUUAUUCCAAUGUUUAGUGACAUGUAUAUCUUUCAAUUCUACGAGUCUAUUUGUUAUAGUUUUUUAAUUAAGUCAAAAAAAAGUUUUAGUUUUUCAAUAAAAUAUUUUUUAUUUUAAAUUAUAAUUACUUUUUAAAGUUAUCCAUUUGUUACAAAGAAUUAGAAGAACAAAAACUAAAAACCGGAUAAAUGAGAAAUCGUUUUGAUUAAUUAAUUUUUCGUAAAAAUAACUUUCCUUAUUGUAAAUAAACAUAAAUUAGAUUUUUCCUCUUUUUUCACAAGAUUCAGUUUUUCUUAAAAAAUCUCUAAAAAUUAAUUUCUAAAUUAUUCAAAAUUAAAAUCAAUUUUUUAAAAUCCAUAUCAAACAGUCCUAUAUAUGAACUCUAGUAUUGAAUUUUUCUUUUAUAAUCAUACAGAGAGUAUUUAAUUUUCCUAUGGAUUGUUUAGCAAUUUUCUAUGCUUUUUUACAAAUGAGUUAUUAGCACAUUUUUGUGUAAGAAUAUGCACUUUCCAUUCAAGUCAAAUAGACUUUUUAAAUAUUUUUGGUCUCCUUGUUUUUAAUUGAAACGGAUUUUCAGUUUCCUUGUAUAUAAAAUCAGGACUUUAGUUCUUUAACUUUACAAGUUUUAUAUAUGAGUACAUUUAUCCAAGUUGGGACUUGUUUGCUUAUGAUAUGUCAUUUUUAUUAAUGAUGUUCAAGUAUAUAUAUUUGAUUGUAAUAUUAUUAACCUGGAUCACAAAGAAUGGGCUGAAAAUCAUGUUACAACAUUUUUGUUCAGUUUCAUUGAUUUACUAUAAAUAUUUUUUUUCUAAUUCACCGUUUUCUGUUUUGAUAUGUCGUUAAUUUUAAUUCCACAUUAUUAAGUAAUAUAACACAUUAAAUUAAACUUCAAAUUAGAUAGUGGAAAAAAUCCCAAAACUCGGGAAAUAUAUAAAUUAUUAAAUUUUUAUAUUCGAAAAUAAAGGAACUAAAUUCUAUUUUCACUUAAAAUAAUGAAUCAAAAAGUGUAUUUUAAGUAAUUUUUUUUUUAUAAUUAGACAAUAUUAUUGAAAAUAAUGGAGGAAUACAUUCAGAUUGUAUGCAAUUCUGUAAUCUGAAUUUUGGAGGUUGUCCCAUUAAGAUAAGACAGUUUAAAUUAAAUUUAAAAAUAGUCUUAAAAUUUAAAAAGAUAGGAAAUGGAUCGAGUGGAUUGAUGAGUAAAAAUUAAUGCCAUUUUAAAAUCACUUUUAUACGCGCGAUUGGUCAAACACAUAUCUAGCAUAAUAUGUAGGCAUAGCUGAAAAAGGAUAAUGUCUAGGUGAUAAGAUCAUAUUUAAGUUGUUUCUUUUAUAAUUAGAGAGUGACUUACACAAACGUGUUGGGACAAAAAUAAUAAUAAUUUUGGUAAGGCUUUAAGAUGUUAUUUUUAAGGGAUGGUCUUGCUAGUAUCAUAUGUUCGAAUUAAUAAAUAGUUUGUAUUUUAAAUGAUUUGAUGAUUCUAUCAUAUCCUAGUUUGGGUUUAAAAAUUUACACCCAUUUUUUGAAGAAGAUUUAGCAUCAAUUUAGGGACAUCACAAAUAUUUAACUACUAAUUUUUAAAUCAAUAAUCUUGGGUAUUCAACACAUGCUAAGGAUUAAAUAUAAUUGAUUUAAUAUUGUUGAAAAAUACUAUUUUAUUUGUUUUGUUUAAGUAUGGGGUUUGAUAUCCUCAUUAGAGAUUUAUUUGAAGCUUUAUUUGGGUCUACUAUAUUAAAGAGAAAUCAAGUGAGCUGAUUUUUCUUUAGAUGCACCGGGAUCAUCUAGUGGUUACAAUUUUAGACUUUUUUUUUUUUUGUUCUUUUAGCAUUAGACUUCUAUUAAGCUAUUAUAAAGUUUGUAAUUUGUAUUAUCACAUGUUUGAAAUACAUUAAAACUAUAAAUGUUUGAAAUACAUUUAUUACAAAGUUUGUAUUAUCACAUUUAUUACUUAUAUUUUUAAGUAAUGAAAAGUUUAGUACUUUGACAAAUAUCUUAUUAUGAAAAUGUCAAAUAUUAGAACAUAAAUAUAUUUUGUAAGAAAAAAUUUCAUUGUAAGAUAAAUCUUGUUGGACUAAAAAAAUAUAUGUUCAAUUCCAAAUAAUAAUAAAAUUUCACAAUGCAAGGGGUUAAAAACGCCUACAAAAUAAUAAACUAUGUACACAGUGGAGGUUUUAAACCUCCCAAGAAAAAAAUCGCCACAAUAUAAACGUAAUACUAGAGUUCUCAAAAUUUCAACAAAUAUAUUACGACAGACGUACCUAUGAUGGUUUUGAAUAUUCCACAAUACAAUCUGUGGAGGUUAAAAAUCCUUGCAAAUUGAUUUAAAAACACUCAUAUAUUAGUGUUUUUUAUGUAGUAGUAGUGUGUAUAUAUAUAUAUAUAUAUAUAUAUAUAUGUGUGUGUGUGUGUGUGUGUUGACAUGUAAAAAUGAUAAAAAUAAAAAUAAAAUAAAAAAUUGUAUAAAAAGAAAGAAGAUAUUAAGUCAAAUUUUUCGCAAAAUACCCAAAUUCUCAAGUAUGGUCGUACCUUAUACAAUGGUGUCCUUAUUCUAAUUCAAUAUGUGAUGAUUUACUAAAAAUAGUUGAAUAUAUACUAAAAAGAAUGGACUUUUUUUAUCCUUGUUUAAUUAGAACCUUAGGAAACAAAAUUGCUUCUUUCUUAAUUUUUCUACUCUUGUUAUUCUUAGAUCUCUCAAGUUUGUGUAGAAUGACAAAAAAAUAAGAUUAUUUUCUGUAAAAUUAUCUUUUACGAACAAUUAUUUGUCUCUACUUUGAUCUAAAGAAAAUAUAUCUUUUUGAGAUAAUUGUUCAAUGGAAAUUUAUCUUACAAAAAUAUGUUAAUCGCGUCAAACAUAAUAAAAAUCAAUAUCAUUAUCUUAGUCAUAAGAUCCAAUAUAAAAUUAAUUUAUAUGUACAAAAAAAUAUAACAAAAUAAUUAAUAUCGCAUCAAAUAUAAUAUAAUUUAUUAUUAUUAUAUGAUAUUAAAAUAUUUAAAAAGUGUACAUAAAAAAAUAAUAAAUAAAUAAAAAACAGAAUUUGAACUCGAAACAAAAUAUUCAAUCUAACUAUCGAUAUUUAUCAAUUAAAUUAAUUAUUUAACAUAACAAAUUUAAACUUCACAGUAUCUAAUUUCUCAAAGACCACCGAUUACCGGAUGCAAUUAAAUCACACCACUUACCAUUACAAACAAAUUAACUAUAUUGGCGCUCAAGUUUUCUCUUUCCUUAGAGCAAUUCUCAUAUAAAAAAUAUAUAUAUGCAAAAAAGACAAACUAUAGUGUUGCUUCGCACCGUAUUUAAAAUCGUGUUAUUUCAUUACAAAGCCAUGGUCAUAUAGAAUAUAUAUAGACAUGGCAAGUUGAUCUAUGAUUAUGGGAGGGCAAGUUACCGAUUUGUUUGUUUGUAAAUAUUAGACGUCAACAACUAGAUAGACGGUAUGAUUAAAUUUGAAAAAUAAUAAAUAAGUAUCCAAAUUUAUCUGUCUUACAACACAAAUUCUCCUUAUUCAAUAAACUAUUUAUGAUAAAUCAAAAUAAUAGAACUAGCAAAAAAUAUUAUUUUAAAGACCACAUAAACAUGUAUUUGGUAGAAAAUUAAAUAGAUGAGAGAAAUUAAAAAAAAAAAAAAAAGCGAAAUAUAAUAUUUGAAUAAUCUAAUCUUAAUCUAACGACAUCAUAUUUAAUAUGUAAAUGUGUGGAUCCACUUAGAUAAGUGAAGCAAAAUAUAAUAUAGAGAGGAGAAAAAUAAAUGUACAGUAAUAUUAUAAAUUAAUGUUACAUUAUUAGAUAAUAAUGACUAUUGAUUUAAUCUUACAAUUAUAACUUUUAUCGAUUAAUAACCAUACCAUUAAUGCUUUAAGUUUUAAUUAUCGGUGUAGAAAGGUAAAGACGCAUAUCUAUUAUUAAAGUCGUAGAGAAAUAGAAAGGGAAAGAAAACGUAUAUAUAUAUAUAUAUAUAUAUGAGUGAUGUUAGUUGCUAGUGAAAUUGACUUAAAGCCCAACAUAAUAGAUUAUAGCUUUUGUCUUAACCGUAACUGCGGUCCUCCUCCCCAUAAGGCAACAAACUUGUAAAUAUGUUUAACAAAUAGAAAUUUAUUUUAUUAUUAAAAUUAAUUCAACUAAUAUUUUUAAUAAUUUGCACAAUUCAAAUGAAACAAUUAUAAUGAAACGGUUAAAAUACAUCAUAGUGAAUAUUUUAUAAUGUAUAAAUUUGUAUCACAAAAACAAGUUUUCGAAACUAAGCCUUAGUCCUUAAAAAUACACUAUUUGUUAUUCAAGAUAUACAUAAACAAAAAAUAAAAUAAAAAGUUUAUAGGAAUUGAAAACAAAAUUUACAGAAAUGGAAAACAUAUUUAACUGAAAAAAAGAGUUAAAAAAUGUAAACAUAUAUAAAUGUAUGAAGAAAUCAAUAUUUUUGUGAAACUAAGGCUCCACGCUUGAUGGUUUUGAGGGUAAACAUAAUUUUAUUUUGAUAAAAAAACCUGCCUUAGUCCCCUCUAAAUUCUAAAAAAAAUAAUUGACAUAGUGGAUAAUAAUUAGUAGACAAAUCAAGUGUUAAUUUGCAUCAUAUAUAGUUUUCCACAAACCAGUGUUUUACAUAAUGUCCGUUAGGUUAUGAAGAAUCCACAUUUAUUUCCAAAGAUAAGUCCAUAAACGUAUAUUGAAUCCACACACAUGAUGAGUUAAAUGGGUUUGAUUUGCAUAUCUAAGUCAUAUAUCCUAUUCAAUCACAAAUUCUCCCAAAACAAAAAUAGCGAAUGAAAUUAUGCUAAAGUGGUAUCUAAGUGGACCAUAGUUGAUAUAUGCCAAACCAUGUUAUUACACCAUCAACCAAUCAAACAAAGAAGUAUAUAUCUAAAAUCACAGUUGAUUAAUGAUUCAAUUAAGGAAAAAAGUUGAUUAAAUAUGAGACAUUAAUUAAGCAAUAAAAGUAGUAAUAAUAAUUUAGAGUGAUAGGAAGAUGAAGAUAAGAUGCCAGCGGAGUAACCCCUGAGUGACUGAGCACACAGCUUCGAAAUUACGAUCUGAAAUUUUGUAAUGUACACUUGUAAGGUUUGACAGCUUGCAAAUUUGGCACUAGCCUUUUUAGUGACCUAUUACAGCCCCAUCUUCACGUGACAUGCUAUCAUAAUCCCCUUUUGUUUGCAUCUCAAUUCUCAUACUCCUCCAUACUUUUUUUUUAUAGGAUCCGGCUUCAAUGUUGUUGCUAAUCAUGCAUGCACACAAUAUCGAAAUUAAAUACUUCCUAACUAAUUGUGCUAUUUUAAAUUAUAUAAUUAAAAUAAGUAGAUUUUGAACCGUCAUAGGAAAGAUGAUGUCCUGAAUGUAUGAAUGUGUAGACUUCCAUAAAUUUAAGAGUCUGCAUGUUGAAUGAGAUAAGACAUUGAGACAUCUCUCACCUGAUACCAAGUCAUCGUUGUCGAUUUUGUAAUGAUGAAUUAGACAUAAUAUAAAAUUCAAUACAAUGUCAGAGUCUAUCUGAUAUAUAUUGGUUGAUCUACUAUCGGGUAACUGGUAUCAUACUAUAUGGGUCACACUUCAUAUAUAUGUCCACGCAUAAGUGUUGAUGGACGUGUGUUAAGAAUCUCGCAUUGGAUAUAGAUUGAGUUUAGACAUAAAUUUAUAAACGUGAGACAUAGUAUUCACCUUAAUUACAAGUUGAUUUUGCAAAAAUGUAUUGACACAAUAUAAAAAUGAGUUAUAUUAUUUAGUACGAAACAAAUAUUUAAAGAAACACAAGAACAAUUAAUUGUCAAUUUAUUAAAGAUGGAUCAAAUAGUCACCUUCAUAUUUAGUGAAAAACAUAAGAGAGAAAAUAAAAAUAAAAAUAAAAAACUAAUUCCAAAAUUUCAAAUUUCUUUAUUACUUUCACUUUCUUACCAUUCAAGAUUAAUAUAAGACAUAAAUGUCCGACAAAAAUACUUAAAUUUAUCAACCAAGAAAGUCUCCAAAUCCACAAUGAAAUUUGAAGACCAAUACUUAGCAAGUAAUUAACCAAGCUAAUUAAGAUUCACCUGAUUCCUAUUUCCUAUAUAUCAUCUCACUCCUUCCCUUACAAUCUCCACUACCAUCACACUAGUCUACUAAAUCCUAGUUUCCUUUAUCAGUCUUUCUCUUUGUAACACCAACAAAGAGAGAUGGAGUCCUCAUCAACACCAAAAUUCUAUGCUUACAUAAUCAUUUGCAUGCUCUUCAUCUCUUCAGCCACACCAAUUCUUGGUUGUGGCUAUUGUGGUGGAGGAAAACCACCUAAAAAACACAAACCAGUUAAAAAACCAAUUGUGAAACCACCAGUGACAACUCCAACUCCACCCAUCACAGUCCCUCCAACUUUACCUAUUCCACCAAUUGUGAAACCACCAAUUUCAAUACCACCAAUAACAAUUCCACCAACUUUGCCUAUUCCUCCAAUUGUGAAACCACCAAUAGCAAUUCCACCAACUUUGCCUAUUCCUCCAAUUGUACCAACUUUGCCACUACCUCCAAUUGUGAAACCACCAAUAACAAUUCCACCAAGUUUACCAAUCCCUCCAAUUCCAGGACUCCCUCCAAUUCCAGGAAUCCCUCCAGUUCUUAACCCACCAAGCAAAGGAGGAAGCACACCUU
rnacentral:lncRNA from 1 species